rnacentral:rRNA from 1 species
GAUGAACGCUGGCGGCGUGCUUAACACAUGCAAGUCGAACGGAAAGGCCCAAUCUUUCUUGGGUACUCGAUUGGCGAUCGUGUGUGUAACACGUGUGUGAUCUGCCCCGCACUUCGUGAUAAGCCUGGGAAACUGGGUCUAAUACCGGAUAGGACCACUUCUUGCUGGUUGUGUUGGAAAGUUUUUUCGGUGUGGGAUGAGCUCGCGGCCUAUCAGCUUGUUGGUGGGGUAAUGGCCUACCAAGGCGUCGACGGGUAGCCGGCAUGAGAGGGUGUACGGCGACAAUGGGAAUGAGAUAAGGCGCAGAGUGCAACGGGAGGCAGGAGUGGGGAAGAUUGAAAAAUGGGAGGAAGCGUGAUGAAGAGAAGAGGGGUGGGGGAUGACGGGCAAGGGGUAGAAAAAAAAAGUAGAAAGGGAAGAAGAGAAAGUGACGGUAAAUAGAGAAGAAGCACCGGCUAAAUACGUG